AGGCGAGGCUCACGCGCCCGCCCCCGCCCUGGCCCCAGCGCCCACCCUGUCGGCCCGGCCCAGCCAUGAUCAAGGCCAUCCUCAUCUUCAACAACCACGGGAAGCCGCGGCUCUCCAAGUUCUACCAGCCCUAUAGUGAAGAUACGCAACAGCAAAUCAUCAGGGAGACUUUCCAUCUGGUGUCUAAGCGAGACGAGAAUGUUUGUAAUUUCCUAGAAGGAGGAUUAUUAAUUGGAGGAUCUGACAACAAACUGAUUUACAGACAUUAUGCAACACUAUAUUUUGUCUUCUGUGUGGAUUCCUCAGAAAGUGAACUUGGCAUUUUAGAUCUAAUUCAAGGCUGGAGAGAUGGCUCAGCAGUCAAGAGCACUGACUGCUCUUCCAGAGGUCCUGAGUUCAAAUUCUAGGAACCACAUGGUGGCUCACAAGCAUCUGUAAUGAGAUCUGAUGCCCCCUUCUGGUGUGUCUGAAGACAGCGACAGUGUACUCACAUAAAAUGAGUGAAUGAAUGAAUGAAUGAAUGAAUAAAUAAAUAAAUAAAUAAAUAAAUAAAUCAA
rnacentral:lncRNA from 1 species